UGGGAUUUAUUUACGGUGGCUGCC
rnacentral:siRNA from 1 species